rnacentral:rRNA from 1 species
UACGGAGGAUGCAAGCGUUAUCCGGAAUUAUUGGGCGUAAAGGGUCUGUAGGUGGCUUUUCAAGUCCGUCGUCAAAUCCCAGGGCUCAACCCUGGACAGGCGGUGGAAACUACCAAGCUAGAGUACGGGAGAGGGAGAGGGAAUUUCCGGUGGAGCGGUGAAAUGCGUUGAGAUCGGGAAGAACACCAACAGGCGAAGGCACUCUGCUGGGCCGUAACUGACACUCAGAGACGAAAGCUAGGGUAGCGAAUGGG